GCCUAGGUGGCUCAGUCGGUUAAGCAUCUGACUUCGUCUCAGGUCAUGAUCUCACGGUUCAUGGGUUCGAGCCCCGCCUUGGGCU
rnacentral:tRNA from 1 species